rnacentral:rRNA from 1 species
CCAAUAGCGUAUAUUAAAGUUGUUGCAGUUAAAAAGCUCGUAGUUGAAUUUCGGGAUUAGUAAGUUGGUCGUGCCUCCGGUAUGUACUGGCUUUACUGGUUCCUCCUUCUUGAAGAACUGUAAUGUCAUUAAUUUGGUGUUGCAGGGAAACAGGACUGUUACUUUGAAAAAAUUAGAGUGUUUAAAGCAGGCCAACGCUUGAAUACAUUAGCAUGGAAUAAUGAAAUAGGACGUUUGAUCCUAUUUUGUUGGUUUCUAGGAUUGACGUAAUGAUUAAUAGGGAUAGUUGGGGGCAUUAGUAUUCAAUUGUCAGAGGUGAAAUUCUUGGAUUUAUUGAAGACUAACUACUGCGAAAGCAUUUGCCAAGGAUGUUUUCAUUAAUCAAGAACGAAAGUUAGGGGAUCGAAGACGAUCAGAUACCGUCGUAGUCUUAACCAUAAACUAUGCCGACUAGGGAUCGGAUGAUGUUAAUUUUUUAAUGACUCAUUCGGCGCCUUACG